AAAUAUUAAAUAUACAAACUUUAUCUCGAAACCCUAAUCAAUUUGCUCACUCCUUUCUCUCUCUAUAUUCCCUUCCCUUCUUCCUCUCUCUCUACACCCAUAGUGGCAGCCCUCUCUCUCAACCAAACCAUCAUCGUCGACUAGAAGAAGGGUAAAUCGCCGGCCAGAAGAACAGAUUCAUCCUUGCUAUGUGAUGGUGGUGGCAGCAAUUUUGCUGGGGUGAAUCUGGAAUUGCCGACUAGAAGAUGGGCGAAUCGUCGAAAGAAUGGAGCGAUGGUGUGUGUAUUGGCCGAGUUGUGGUGGUGGUUGGCGGUGGCGUAUCUGGUGGUUGAGGCCGGUGUGCAUUGUCGAGCAUUCACAGCGCCAGUGUGCAGUAGAUUGUGUCGAUGAUUCCAGAUUAGGCGUUCACAGGCCAAUGUGCAGUGCCUCAGCGUCGCUCGUCGCGAUGGUGGUGGUGUUUGCUAUUAUAGUGGCGGUGAUGUCAAUGGUGGUGGUUGUGAGAGGUGUCGCUGGUGGUUUUGUGGCCGUGGUGCGGUGUUUUGGAGUGGUGGUUGUUGGGAGUUCUUCUUUAUUAGGCGUUCACAGGCUGAUGUGCAAUGUAUCGGCAUCGCUCGUCGCGAUGGUGGUGGUGUUUGGUGUUACAACGGCGGUGAUGUCGAUGCUUGACCUAAAAAAUUAAUAAUUUGUGACUGUCUAAUAAGUAGUAACCUAUAAUAUUUGUGAUCUGUGAUUUGUAAAUUUUUUGAUUCGUGACCAAAAAAUAAUAUGUGAUCUAUAAAAUUUUUGAUUUGUAAUCAAGAAAUAAG
rnacentral:lncRNA from 1 species